UACGUAGGUGGCGAGCGUUGUCCGGAUUUACUGGGCGUAAAGCGCGCGCAGGCGGACUGAUCAGUCUGGGGUGAAAUCUCACGGCUCAACUGUGAGCGGUCCCUGGAUACUGUCAGUCUUGAGAUGUCUAGAGGAGAGCGGAAUUCCCGGUGUAGCGGUGGAAAUGCGCAGAUAUCAGGAGGAACACCGAUGGCGAAGGCAGCUCGCUGGGACGGUAACUGACGCUGAGGCGCGAAAGCGUGGGGAGCAAACAGG
rnacentral:rRNA from 1 species